rnacentral:rRNA from 1 species
GACGAACGCUGGCGGCGUGCUUAACACAUGCAAGUCGAACGAAGUGGCGAACGGGUGAGGAAUACGUGAGUAACCUGCUCUCCUCUUUGGGAUAAGUCUUGGAAACGGGGUCUAAUACCGAAUAAGGGGGGUUGGGUUUGCGCCCUAUCAGUUUGAUGGUGGGGUGAUGGACUACCAAGGCGGUGACGGGUAGCCGGCGUGAGAGGGUGAGAGGGCACAGUGGGAGUGGAAUACGGCCCAGACGCAUACGGGAGGCAGCAGUGGGGGAUAUUGGACAAUGGGCGAAAGGGUGAAGCAGCGACGACGCGAGGGGGAUGAAGGCUUUCGGGGUGUAGAUGUCUGUCGCUAUCGAGCGGGUAGGUAGAGAAGAAGCGCCGGCUAACUACGUGCCAGCAGCCGCGGUAAUUC